rnacentral:rRNA from 1 species
CAAGUCGAACGGCAGCGCGGGGCAACCUGGCGGCGAGUGGCGAACGGGUGAGUAAUAUAUCGGAACGUACCCUGGAGUGGGGGAUAACGUAGCGAAAGUUACGCUAAUACCGCAUACGAUCUAAGGAUGAAAGUGGGGGAUCGCAAGACCUCAUGCUCCUGGAGCGGCCGAUAUCUGAUUAGCUAGUUGGUGGGGUAAAGGCCUACCAAGGCAUCGAUCAGUAGCUGGUCUGAGAGGACGACCAGCCACACUGGAACUGAGACACGGUCCAGACUCCUACGGGAGGCAGCAGUGGGGAAUUUUGGACAAUGGGCGAAAGCCUGAUCCAGCAAUGCCGCGUGAGUGAAGAAGGCCUUCGGGUUGUAAAGCUCUUUUGUCAGGGAAGAAACGGCGGUUUCUAAUACAGAUCGCUAAUGACGGUACCUGAAGAAUAAGCACCGGCUAACUACGUGCCAGCAGCCGCGGUAAUACGUAGGGUGCAAGCGUUAAUCGGAAUUACUGGGCGUAAAGCGUGCGCAGGCGGUUUUGUAAGUCUGUCGUGAAAUCCCCGGGCUCAACCUGGGAAUUGCGAUGGAGACUGCAAGGCUAGAAUCUGGCAGAGGGGGGUAGAAUUCCACGUGUAGCAGUGAAAUGCGUAGAGAUGUGGAGGAACACCGAUGGCGAAGGCAGCCCCCUGGGUCAAGAUUGACGCUCAUGCACGAAAGCGUGGGGAGCAAACAGGAUUAGAUACCCUGGUAGUCCACGCCCUAAACGAUGUCUACUAGUUGUCGGGUUUUAAUUAACUUGGUAACGCAGCUAACGCGUGAAGUAGACCGCCUGGGGAGUACGGUCGCAAGAUUAAAACUCAAGGAAUUGACGGGGACCCGCACAAGCGGUGGAUGAUGUGGAUUAAUUCGAUGCACCGCGAAAACCUUACCUA